AUCCACUCCUCGACUGCUGACGUCUGACGUUACGAUAACUUGGGACUGAUGAAGCCCAGAGAUGUGUGAGCUGCCAUCCAUGGCUCAUCUGGCCCAUGACGGCCCCCAGGCGACAGCUGUCACCAGCAGAGCAGACCUCCUGCUCCUGGCUGCGGUUACCAUUGGGCUGAGGCCAGCUAAUGAGGACAUUAUCAGAUCAGUGUCUUCAGCCUGACACAAGCCUAGCCGCCAGCACAACUGAUUCGACCUUUUCCCACCUGCUCUCAAGAUGAACGACCAGGAGCUUCACACAAUAUAGUCACAGGAGAAGGGAGGUCAUGGAUAUUGUAUAUUAUUCCCAGGAAAUGAAUAGCUUCAGAGAUGAAAAAGGAAGCCAGUGUGAGUCAUGAUGUGCAGCAUUGUAAAAUUUC
ensembl:lncRNA